rnacentral:rRNA from 1 species
CCUACGGGUGGCAGCAGUGGGGAAUAUUGCACAAUGGGUGCAAGCCUGAUGCAGCCAUGCCGCGUGUGUGAAGAAGGCCUUCGGGUUGUAAAGCACUUUCAGCGGGGAGGAAGGCGGUGAGGUUAAUAACCUCAUCGAUUGACGUUACCCGCAGAAGAAGCACCGGCUAACUCCGUGCCAGCAGCCGCGGUAAUACGGAGGGUGCAAGCGUUAAUCGGAAUUACUGGGCGUAAAGCGCACGCAGGCGGUCUGUCAAGUCGGAUGUGAAAUCCCCGGGCUCAACCUGGGAACUGCAUUCGAAACUGGCAGGCUAGAGUCUUGUAGAGGGGGGUAGAAUUCCAGGUGUAGCGGUGAAAUGCGUAGAGAUCUGGAGGAAUACCGGUGGCGAAGGCGGCCCCCUGGACAAAGACUGACGCUCAGGUGCGAAAGCGUGGGGAGCGAACAGGAUUAGAUACCCCGGUAGUC